AGAGUCCGUUUGCAAAAAGAAAUAGAAAGUGUUGGUGAUGCUGAUGCCUGGAACACUGAUCGUGUGAAGGUCAUGAAUUCAAACAAUCCAAAAUAUAUCUUGAGAAAUUAUAUUGCCCAGAAUGCCAUAGAAGCAGCUGAAAAUGGGGAUUUCUCAGAGGUAAGAAAUGUACUGAAACUUUUAGAGCAUCCAUUCCAAGAAGCAGAAGGUUUCAGGGAGGUAAAGGAAGAUGCAGAAGAGGAGGGAGCAACUGCCACAGCAGCUGCUUGUGCUGAAGAGACCAGAAGCAGACUACCAUAUUGCAGCAAACCUCCACUUUGGGCUUCAGAGCUAUGCGUUACAUGAUCUUCAUAACUGCCUUGUUUUGUUUUUUGCUGUAAACUGAAGACUCUGAUCCUCCUUCAGCAGUGAAGAAUUCAGCAAGGCAAAUAUCAAAGUGCUAUUAAGUUAUUGAAGCAACCCUACAUUUGGAUGCAUCUGCAGCACUCUUCAUCUGUCCUUAAUUGGAAGCAAUUGUUGAUCAGUGGAACAAACCAGUGACAAUUAACAGUUCCUAUACAUCAGUAAUCUCAGUGUUUUGAGGCUGAAAGUAUUUCCUUUAUCCAUACUACAUCACAAGUGUAAAGCAAUAUUUUAUGCUGAGGCAGGCUGAAUUUUGAACAUCCAAAUGCAGUUGUUGUUAUGUGAAGACAAAAAUAGCAAGACAGGAAUCUGAUCUGUUUUUGUCCGAUGUCUUAACUAAUAGUACUUCUAAUAUUUAUUUACUGCUUUCUCUAUGCAGGAACUUUUAGUCUUCUUUAUUGGAGGAACAAAUUCAGUGUUGCUUAUUUGAAGCUAUGUUUCAUUUAAUUAAGUAGUUCAUUUCUUGUGAACCUUCAGAUUGGUAUUUAAUCAUUAUCUAUUUUCAGAGAGUUUGUGCAGGGCAGGCUCAAGUUUGGAGGGAGGAAUCGAAUUUUUUUUAAGACCAGAAUUAAGGGAGUUUAUAUACAUUUGCACUUGAAAACUUGGUGGUGAAGUUUAUUCAGGCUCAGGAUGUUGCAUACAACAUGUGUAAAUAUUUACUAAACUCAUGAGUGCAGUUUGUAAGCCAGUUGCCUUGGGCAGGAUCCAUUAGCCAAAUUAGUGAACCUUAAACUACCCCAGCACUCAAAUCCAGGUUCACUGUGUAUUUUUUUCUGUGCUUCUAAGUCUCGCUGUAUGAGAAGCGUGUAUGUGGGGUGCCUGCUCAUCACACUGGUCAGUGGGGUUGUUCCAUUCCCAGUCUGGUCUUGCACCAUUUAGUUUACUUACAUGGUCUUUGAAAAAUCUUUAAGUUUGAAGUUGCCAUUCAGAAAUGUGCUAUUUGAGCUUGUGUGAAAGAUGAUGGAGGAUGUGGGAGGAGAACAGGAGCUGACUUGCUUGCAAGUUACUUAUUGGUAACGUUUCUGUUGAGGUUUCAGGGGAAAGUUGGUUGCCAUUAUUGCCACAUUAGCAAAAGAGAGUUGUUCUGUAAUUAGUUGUUACUUAGCUUUCUGAACUUCUUUCUAAAAGGCUGUUACUGAUUCAGAUACCUGCAAAGUUUGCUUUAAUGCAAAGGCUUCUCUUUUCCAAAGAGACCACUGUCUUACACUGUGAUUUAUGUGUACUCAAGUAAAUUCUUCCACUACCCCUGUGCAAGCUUGGUAUUAGCUCAGGUAGAAUUGUGCUCUUUUAAGUCUUCCUCUGUACAAGCUGUUGAAAAACAGGAAGAAAAGUUGGACUGCUGCUUAUCUGUCUGUACUAAUAAUCAGUUUGUCCUCCUUAGUGCUGCAGUACACAGACUAUGUUUUGAAUGUAAACAUUCACUCUGUCCUGCCUUCAAGCUGAAGAAACUGAUUUAUGACAAACUAGAAUCUCUGACAAGUACAGCAGUUUCUGUGAGGUUUUGGAGUUCUUGCAGAAAAGGACAAAAUAAAGGUGUAUUUACAUAGCCCGUGGAAGAAUGGUGCAGUUGAAAGAGGAAGCACCUCGAAGAAGUAGGCAGCAAGUAACGCCAGCCAGUGCAGCUGAUCAUCUUCUAGGAAUAAUCCAUUUUUGUGGGAGUUUGAGACUUUUAUUGAGGAUUAGCUUUCCUCUAAACUUGGGGUACUGGAAUCAAACCAUUUAAUGGAAACUUCUAGCAGAAAGUGAGGGCUGGGUAAAAAGGACUGCACCAGAGAGGGAAAGUGUGCCAGCAGUUUGAAAGAGGCUUCAAACGUUUCCCUGCGGAAUCAGUGGUCUCUUGCGGGGUGCCUGGUCCAGAAGGGGAGUAAUGGAGUGGGGAGAGGUUGCUCCAAGCUGAUUGACAUAACUGUGCUGAUUUUGCUUCUCAAUUUACAUCCUUCCUUGUGGGAAGCAAAGGGGAACAGAGUUUUAGAGGAGCUCUGUCUAAGCUUUUGGCUUAACAGAAUGGUCUAACAUGUAAUGAUUCUUAACCAUACCUAAGGGAUCAAGUCUUUUUAAUGGCAUCCUGAUAAUAAUUUAGGGACAUUGAGUAGAUCUGUAUUAGUAGCGGUAUGGAGAGGGAGAACAAUAUUAUAACUCUGUGUUUGAACAUAUGAGAAUUUUAAUUAACUACCAAAUUGUUGUCACCUAUAAUGCCAAAAUCAUGGAGAUACUUUGAAA